AUUGAACGCUGGCGGCAUGCCUUACACAUGCAAGUCGAACGGCAGCACGGGGCAACCUGGUGGCGAGUGGCGAACGGGUGAGUAAUGCAUCGGAACGUGCCAUUGAGUGGGGGAUAACGUAGCGAAAGUUGCGCUAAUACCGCAUAUUCUGUGAGCAGGAAAGCAGGGGACCGCAAGGCCUUGCGCUCUUUGAGCGGCCGAUGUCAGAUUAGCUAGUUGGUGAGGUAACGGCUUACCAAGGCGACGAUCUGUAGCGGGUCUGAGAGGAUGAUCCGCCACACUGGAACUGAGACACGGUCCAGACUCCUACGGAGGCAGCAGUGGGGAAUUUUGGACAAUGGGCGGCAAGCCUGAUCCAGCCAUGCCGCGUGAGUGAAGAAGGCC
rnacentral:rRNA from 1 species